GCUGGGUGUGGUGGUGCACACCUGUAACCCCAGCUACUUGGGAGUCCAAGGCAGGAGAAUUGCAAGCUUGAGGCCAGCCUC
rnacentral:sRNA from 1 species